rnacentral:rRNA from 1 species
CCUACGGGGGGCUGCAGUGAGGAAUAUUGGUCAAUGGACGAGAGUCUGAACCAGCCAAGUAGCGUGAAGGAUGACUGCCCUAUGGGUUGUAAACUUCUUUUAUAUGGGAAUAAAAUGUUCCACGUGUGGGAUUUUGUAUGUACCAUAUGAAUAAGGAUCGGCUAACUCCGUGCCAGCAGCCGCGGUAAUACGGAGGAUCCGAGCGUUAUCCGGAUUUAUUGGGUGUAAAGGGAGCGUAGGUGGAUUGUUAAGUCAGUUGUGAAAGUUUGCGGCUCAACCGUAAAAUUGCAGUUGAAACUGGCAGUCUUGAGUACAGUAGAGGUGGGCGGAAUUCGUGGUGUAGCGGUGAAAUGCUUAGAUAUCACGAAGAACUCCGAUUGCGAAGGCAGUUCACUGGACUGCAACUGACACUGAUGCUCGAAAGUGUGGGUAUCAAACAGGAUUAGAUACCCCAGUAGUC